GGCCAGACUCCUACGGGAGGCAGCAGUGGGGAAUAUUGCACAAUGGGGGAAACCCUGAUGCAGCGACGCCGCGUGAGUGAAGAAGUAUUUCGGUAUGUAAAGCUCUAUCAGCAGGAACGAGACAAGACGGUACCUGACUAAGAAGCCCCGGCUAACUACGUGCCAGCAGCCGCGGUAAUACGUAGGGGGCAAGCGUUAUCCGGAAUCACUGGGUGUAAAGGGAGCGUAGACGGCUGUGCAAGCCAGAUGUGAAAGCCCGGGGCUCAACCCCGGGACUGCAUUUGGAACUGUGUGGCUGGAGUGUCGGAGAGGCAGGCGGAAUUCCUAGUGUAGUGGUGAAAUGCGUAGAUAUUAGGAGGAACACCAGUGGCGAAGGCGGCCUGCUGGACGAUGACUGACGUUGAGGCUCGAAAGCGUGGGGAGCAAACAGGAUUAGAUACCCUUGUAG
rnacentral:rRNA from 1 species